rnacentral:lncRNA from 1 species
UGGUUUUAGUACAACCUAGGUCACAUUCUUCUCAUGUUGGUUGCUGCAUAGUCGGAAGGGGUUACGUCAAGGGAAAUUGACACCUACCCUUCUCAUUUGCUCUUUGAUUUGCACACUCAUCAGAAGACUAGAGCCAUUUGAUACUUCACAAGAUGAUUCCCCUUAGCAGACACUGAGGGAAGGGGGAGUCACCUGGCCCCAGCAUCUGGUAACUGUUCCCAUUUCAACUGUUGACUCAAUAAAUGCCCUUGGGCAAGUCACUGAACCUCUCCACAUUUAGUCUCUGGGGAAUGAAAUCUGCCAACUGUAUUAUGUGGGUUUGAACCUCACUGCCCUCUGGGAUAAAAAUAGGAGAGGACCAGGUGUCAGCUGGUCCCAAACUGAUGUAAGGAUGGCGGCCAUGGGAUCUCAAAGAUGUCCUUGAGCUAUAAAUUCUAUAAUAGGGUCACGGGACACAGAGGCCCUCAGGCAUUUAUUUGGCUUGUGUGAUAAAUUCCAGCCCUUGAAAUUUUUCCAGCCACUCUUGAAUACUCUGCCUGGCCCCGCCCCCACUCCUCAGUAUUUCUCCCGCCAUAAUACUCAACUCUGAAUGCUGUUGCUUUGUCACAAAACUCUUGGACCGUAAACUUCCCAAGGGAGGAGAUAACGUCAGCACAAGCUUCAUUGUCAAGUACACACCAGGCAAGUGGGCAUACUACGUGAAUUGUUUGCCAUAUGGACGAGUGAAUGAAGACUUCCCAGGCUCCAGAGAACAUUCCACUCCUCUGCCUCUGGGAUCAUCCAUCCCUGGCCAACAUAAGCAUUCCUGCUAAAUACAGCAUCCAGGUCAACUGGAGUCAUCUGCAAGUGCUCUCUCUGGCGCUCUCUUCCCAUCUCUUAACUGGGCGUGGGUGUCCUGCACUACUGACUUUCCCAUAGUGCUCAGUGAUUUGCCAGCGUCUGCUACUCCUGACCCCAGUCACCCCAUGGCUUCCAGUCACCAAGCCCACAGAGCCCCCUUCUCUCAGCCCAACCUCAGUUCCUUGGGCUCUUCAUUGUCUAGAAGGCUAGCCACUUGAGGAUGCUUGGCUGCCUUCUGGGCCCCCUGCUGUGAUGAAGCUUUCUGUGAGGCAUUGUCCAAGUCCCUUAGGCCAGCCCUUUGCUGGUGCCUUGCCUAGUGAAAGGUCUCUUCUAUGUUUGUAGAGCCCAUGGCCGGCUGCCAGGGAUGUGAACCAUGACAGCUGCUGCUCUGUUUCCUCUUUAGCCAGCCUGGGUUUUCAUUGCCUCACCUCCCCAGACCAAAGCAAAGCUGACCCCUCCUUGUCUGCCUGUCACUGUCUGCCUGUCUCCCUUCAACACUAGGCUUGCAGGCAUCUUUCCUGUGGAUGCUGGGGAUCCAAGCACAGGUUCCUGUGCCUGUACAGCAAGAGUUCUCUCGAUAUGCUUUUCUAGAUACUCCUAAGAAAAGGUUAACCUUGAAACUGUAGGAUAAGAAAGAGGAAGUGUCCAGAUAGUGAAGCUCUGCACAGAAGUGUCUCUCAUACGGCAUUGGGGUACAUUAGUCUGCAUUUAAUUGUGGCUAUAUUCUGGAUCUAGAAUGUUCCCUAAUGGUCUGCACGGUUAAGGAUUAGGCCAGUAGCUUGCUCAGCUAUUGGGAGGCAGUAGACUCUGUAAGAGAUGGAAUUUAGUAAUGGGGGGAUAUUAGGUUGAGGAGAAUGUACCCUUGAGACUUUGGCCACCAGCUCUCCCCCUCCGCCUCCUUCUCCUCCUCCUUCUCCUCUUCUCUUCUCCUGACCACCAUGAGGACAGAAGGCUUUCCCUGAAUGCCUACACCAUGGUCUACCAUGCCAGUAUAGGCCCAAAGCAACAGCACCAACCAAGUGACCACAGACUGAUAGAUAUAAC